rnacentral:rRNA from 1 species
GAGGGGAAACGACAUCGAAAGCUUGCUUUUGAUGGGCGUCGACCGGCGCACGGGUGAGUAACGCGUAUCCAACCUGCCCACCACUUGGGGAUAACCUUGCGAAAGUAAGACUAAUACCCAAUGACGUCUCUAGAAGACAUCUGAAAGAGAUUAAAGAUUUAUCGGUGAUGGAUGGGGAUGCGUCUGAUUAGCUUGUUGGCGGGGUAACGGCCCACCAAGGCAACGAUCAGUAGGGGUUCUGAGAGGAAGGUCCCCCACAUUGGAACUGAGACACGGUCCAAACUCCUACGGGAGGCAGCAGUGAGGAAUAUUGGUCAAUGGACGAGAGUCUGAACCAGCCAAGUAGCGUGCAGGAUGACGGCCCUAUGGGUUGUAAACUGCUUUUAUAAGGGAAUAAGGUGAGUCUCGUGAGACUUUUUGCAUGUACCUUAUGAAUAAGGACCGGCUAAUUCCGUGCCAGCAGCCGCGGUAAUACGGAAGGUCCGGGCGUUAUCCGGAUUUAUUGGGUUUAAAGGGAGCGUAGGCCGGAGAUUAAGCGUGUUGUGAAAUGUAGACGCUCAACGUCUGCACUGCAGCGCGAACUGGUUUCCUUGAGUACACACAAAGUGGGCGGAAUUCGUGGUGUAGCGGUGAAAUGCUUAGAUAUCACGAAGAACUCCGAUUGCGAAGGCAGCUCACUGGAGCGCAACUGACGCUGAAGCUCGAAAGUGCGGGUAUCGAACAGGAUUAGGUACCCUGGUAGUCCGCACGGUAAACGAUGGAUGCCCGCUGUUGGUCUGAAUAGGUCAGCGGCCAAGCGAAAGCAUUAAGCAUCCCACCUGGGGAGUACGCCGGCA